rnacentral:lncRNA from 1 species
UGCUGUUAACUUUCUUUCUCUAUUCCGUUCAUCAUCAAUUCUUCACCAUCAUCAUCAAUCGCCCAAUUCAACACUUAUUCUCAGAAUCUUCAUCUUAGGCUGGCUUCCAAAUAUGAAUGAUAUUUUCUACAUUCAUGGUAGUUUGCUGAGAAGAUUUCAUCUAUUUAUCUAAUCUUCAUCGAAUUCGGCAACACCUUGAAUGUGGCAGCAUUGAUGUUCCAAUCGCAGCUUUAUGUGAGUCUCUCUUACUCUUCUUCCUUUUUUCCUCUGGCAACUUAUUAUUGUGUUGCGUGUGAGGUGUUUGAUAAUUUGACUCAAUGAAAUUUUACUCUAUUAUUUUGCAAUUGUGUGCUUAUCCAGGAAUUAGGUGGAUGAACUGUUAUUUCCGUAUUAGACGAUGCCACUGCCGUGUGAGUAUCUCCCAACAAAUUUGUUUAAAUUUCAAAAUGAUCCUUUAAAUUGAAAAUCUUCGUUCACGUAUGUGAUAUUUUGAACUCUCCACCGAUGCAAAGUGAGUCUGAAGGUAAAUAUUAUUGUCCCCCUUGUUUCCAUUAUGUCUGUAUGUUAUCUACAUCAAUAGGUAUGUACACACUGAAUAUAUAUAUACAGAAAAAUAAUUUUUGCUGCACCAACGGUAGAUAAAAGUGAAAUACUGGCUCUUGUAGGCGAUAAGAUGGAUUCUUUGAUCCUUUAUAAUCUAUGAUUAAAUGGUUGCGUUAUUGAUGAGUCAUAAUUAUGCAUUUCGCAUUGAACUUAGGAAUAAAACGAUUAAUUCUUAAAUCAAGUAGAACUUCUCUUUCAUGAAUGUUGUGUUCAAUAAUCGGUGAUUAGCUAUUUGAAAGUCAUCACUGCAUUUGUUGGUAUCAUAUGAAGUUGUCCAUGAUGGUGAUUAUGAUCUGUUCAAUUUUAGGGCUCAUUCUAUUUCUAUGCAUCCUGAUAACUUAUAUGGGCAUAUGCAGAAUUACUGAAGUGUCCACGAAAAUAGAACCAGUGCAGGAGAAAAAAUAAAGAGCUUAGCACAAAUAGGAUUUUUGAAGUUAUUUAGUGGUUGCCUUAUCGCAUUUGAAGGUUUGCAGGUUAUUUCUUUGUUUACCCUUUGAAUCUCUUUGAUAUUGCUGAAUAAUAACUGUAGUCUCUUAGAUAGAUCUACUCAAUAGAUAAAACUUGGACAAAGUAAAGUAUAUGCAAAAUCAGAACUCUACCAAAUCCACCAACUUCCAAUAGCCCCUUUUCCAUGAAACCCUUUGUAGCAAAGUAUAGAUCUUUGAACUUAAAUCUAUGAGGGCCAUAUUCAUGUUCCCAAUCUUCAAGAAUCUCAGCAAACAUCUUCCGUUUGAUAUAAUAUAUAACCCUAAAGUUAUCAUGAAUAGCGAACUAAGCAAAAUCAAAGGCAACCCAACAGUUAAAAAUUUAGACUUUUUUUUUUCUCAUCAAAUAUACUUAGCUCAGGAGCAAAUAUUCUUGGCUCAGGAAGUUCAGAGAUUUCAAGGUUUUGAGCUUGGCUAUUAACCUUAAAACUCCAACCAAGAAUAUAAUGAGAAGCUACAAUUAACCCUGUUGAAGAUGAGAAUCCAACAUACAUUCUAUUGUUGAGUAUUGGAGAAAGAUCUUUGGUCAAUGAUAACAAAGGUUGUGUUGGUUUAUCACUAAAACCAACACUAAUUGGAGCUAAAGUAACAUCAUAAUAUCCAUACCUGCAUAUCCACUGGAAAGGGAUAAAUUCCUGAAUCCAUAAUCAUCAUAAUAUCCUGCAGGAGUUGAAUUAGCUGAUUUCAAAUCAUUGAUAUCAAUACCAAUAUGGUUAUCAUUGAUUUCAUCAAACUCAAAAUUUUGAUCAGUGUCAAGCUCAAUACCAAAAACAUGGCUGCUACUGUUUCCAUUGUUGGAAUUGUUAGAGACCAAGGUAUUAAUAUUGUAGUGAAUUUGGUAGCCCUUUUGUAGGUGAAAUAACAAAAACAAUUCCAUGGCCACUAUGAGUUGGAUAUUAAGAUUUUAUAGCAAAUAAAGAAUUAGUUGAGAAAGAAGACACACUUUCACUGAGUGUUUUUGAAAACUAUAGGAUUUGGAUAGAAAGCAUUGCCAUCAAGAUAUAAAUGUGAUGAUUGGAAUCCACUUUAUUUAUAGAUAAAGCAACAUGAACACAAGUCUGAGGAACAUGAUUAUAGUUUGAGAAUGAAUCAUGCUUCUGUAGUUCUGUUCGAGUGUUCGGUGUUUAUUAUUUAUAAGAUUUUGUGCUAAGUGAAGGAAAAAUUGCAUGUCUAAUUCGGGUCCUACUAAGAAAUUUCCUAGAACCUAGCUACGAAUUAUUACUAAAAGAAACAUCACAUGGUUACUAAAAUUGCCUUAUCAUCUGGGUCCUACUAAGAAAUGUCUCAUUUAGUUUAGUGAAGAGAAUGUGUUAUACAUUUGAAUCACAAUUUUUUUUUAUUUUUUUUCCAACAGUAGUAGUGGGUGAAUGUUUUUUUAACAUUUACAUAUUAAGUGUUUGAUGCUAAAUUGAAUAUGUGAAAUUUAAUUAUCAAUGUGUUCUAAUUUCUUAGAAUAAGUAGUGUUUUUUUUUAAUCCUGAAUGUGUGGACUUGACCAGUUACUAUUGAUUAUUGAUUAUGCUUCAAAUCAAAUGAUGAAUGAAUAUGUGGUGGAAAGAUAAAAAGAUAUAUGUUGGUUUGACUCAAUUUCAUACUCACUCCGUCUCUAAAUAUAAGACUCCUCUACAAAUUACUAAAUACAUUUAUUGCUCUUUUUUUUCCAAUAUACUAUCAAUUUAUCUAAGAAUAUGAAAAUUAACUUUGAAUGCACUUUUAUAAAAAGGGUAAUUUAGAAAUAGUAACACACAUUUCAGACAAAUUUAUUACUCGAAAGACUUUUUUUAGUACCCGUGAUUUUUGUAAAGUGUUCUUCUAAAAAAGGAUGGAGGGAAAAUUUUUCUUCAUGCAAAAAUCAUGGUGAAAUUUCGAGCCACAUGUUCCAUCGGUCACAUGUGUUGGCAAAUUGCAGGGAGAUGGAGGCAAAUCACCGGGUAAUUUACUCGUGAUUGACAGCUAUAAAAUACAAUUUUAGACCUGGUUGUUUUGCAAUCUUUCUACUCUAAAGGAGUUAAGGAACUAAUAGGGUGAGGGUUGAGUGUUUUGCAUGAUAUUCUUAUGUUGGAAAACAUCAUGAGAUCUCAUUAGAGUAAAUAUCAAACUCUUUUUCUAGUUUUCUCCUUAGAUCUCAAUUUAGGUUUUAGUGACUUGAAAAAUGGAUAGAAAUUAGAGAUUGUUCUUAUUGUCUACAAGAAUGGUAAAGGUAUUCUUUACCUAGGGCUUUGGUCAAUUUACUCUCAAAUUGUUUCAAACAAACUAAUUUGGCUGAAAUUUUUUUAAUUUCAGGGAUCAUUUUAGAAGUAUGAGUAAUUUGGUUGAAAUUCUUUUAAUUUCAGGGAGAUGAAUGGAAAAUUGAAAUUUAUCACAGCAUUCGUUGGUAAAGUAUGAAGUCGUCCAUGAUAGUGAUUAUGAUGUGUUCAAUUUUAGGGCUCAUUCUAUACAUCCCGUUAACUUAAUCUUAUAUGUGCAUAUGCAGAACUACUGAAGUGUUGAAGAAAAUCGAACGAGUAAAGGAGAAAAGAUGAAGAGCUUGUUUGAGUCUUUAGAACAAAUAUAAUUUCUGAAGUUAUUUAGUGGUUGCCUUAUUGCAUUUGAGGUUUUGCAGGUUAUUUCUUAGUUUACCCUUUGAAUCUCUGUGAUAUUACUGAACAAUAAUUGUAGUCUCUCGUUUACUCAAAAUAGAUACAAACUUGGACGCAAUGAAGUAUAUACAAAAUCAAAACAAAAAAAGUUUAAUGAGAAAAUGAUUUUAUGUAACUAUUAAACCAUUUACUCAAACAUGAUUUCACUUUUUAGAUAACAAACUCUCUUUAAUCCUUUUUACCAAAAUUUAAUACAUUACAAAAUCAAAAUGCACCAAUUAAGCAUCAAUUAGACGUGUCUUUUGAAAUCAACGACCACCCGAGAGAACAGAUUCAGCAAUUAACGCUGAAGUAUAUGGCAUUCUCCUGUCCUCAACAAAUAAUUGGUACCCAAAAGUUAAACCAGAAGAAGAUAAACUAAGCGAAGAAAAAUCUGGCAAAGGUGUAUCCCUCUCCAAAUACUGUACAACUUGUCUCAUACUUGGUCUAGCCAAAGGCUCUGAAUGUGAACACAACAAGCCAAGUUUCAACACCAAUUCCACCUCUUCAGACACAUAAUUUGUUCCUAAAUGAACAUCUUUUGCCUCAAGAAUCUCACCUCUUUGCCAACAUUCAAACACAGAAUCAACUAGAAUUAGACUCUCAUUGUCUCCUACACGACCUAUAGGCCUCCUACCACAAACAACCUCAAGAAGAAAUGCACCAAAAGAAAACACAUCAGAAAAUUUAGUAGCCUUACCUCUUCUAAUAUGUUCAGGAGCAAGAUAACCAAUAGUUCCAGCCAAAUGAGUUGUGUGAGGAUCAGCACCAUGAUCAUGCAACCUUGAAAGACCAAAAUCUCCCAAUCUAGCAUUAAAUCCAGAAUCUAACAACACAUUACUAGCCUUUAUGUCUCUAUGAAUAACAACUUUCUCCCAUUCUUCAUGAAGAUAAACCACACCUGAAGCAACACCUUUGAUGAUUCUAAAUCUUUGACUCCAAUUCAACCUCACUUUUGGUUGGUUAUAUAGAUAGUUGUCUAAACUUCCAUUCGGCAUGUAAUCAUAAACCAAAAGUAACUCGCUUUUUCGCCUGCAAUAGCCAUGAAGUUGAACAAGAUUCCUGUGCCGAAGACGACCGAUACUAACAAUUUCCGACACAAAUUCCCUCAUCCCUUGUCUUGAUUCAUGAGACACCCUUUUCACAGCAACCUCAAGUUUGGAACUUUGUAUCACACCUUUGUAGACUCUACCAAAUCCACCAACUCCCAAUAGCCCCUUUUCCCUGAAACCCUUUGUGGCUGAGUAUAGAUCUUUGAACUUAAAUCUACGUGGGCCAUAUUCAUGUUCCCAAUCUUCAAGAACCUCAUCAAACUUCUUCAAUUUGACAUAAUACAUAACCCCUAAAGUUAUCAUGAAUACCAAACUUAGGAAAAUCAAUGGCAAUCCAACAGUUAAAAAUUUCGACUUUUUUUUCUCUGCAGGUAGUUUAGGAAGUUCAGAGAUUUCAAGGUUUUGAGCUUGACCAUUAACCUUAAAACUCCAACCAAGAAUAUACUGAGAAGCUACCAUUAACCCUGUUGAAGAUGAGAAUCCAACAUACAUUCUAUUGUUGAGAAUUGAAGAAAGAUCUUUGGUCAAUGAUAACAAAGGUUGUGUUGGUUUAUUACUAGCACCAACACUCAUUGGUGCUAAAGUAACAUCAAUCUUUUUCUUCACUCCAUCAUAUUCAAUCCAUACCUGCAUAGGGUAUCCACUGGAAAGGGAUAAAUCCUUGAAUUGACCAUAACCAUCAUAAUAUCCUGCAGGAGUUGAAUCAGCUGAUUUCAAAUCAUUGAUAUCAAUUCCAACAUGGUUAUCGUUGAUAUCAUCAAACUCAAAAUUUUGACGAGUGUCAAGCUCAACACCAAAAACAUGGUUGCUACUGUUUCCACUGUUGGAAUCGUUAAAGAGACCAAGGUAUUGACUUGGUAGUGAAUCUGGUAGCCCUUUUGUUGGAGAAAUAACAAAAACAAUUCCAUGGCCACCAAUAUUUGCAUAUUGAGGUAUUAUGGCAAAUAAAAAAGUAGUUGAGAAAGAAGACACGCUUUCACUGGAAGUGUUUUUGAAAACUAUUGGAUUUGGAUAGAAACCAUGUCCUUUGUCUCUUUCUGUAUCAUUGGUGAGUUUUAGUAAGCCAUUUGUAGUUAACUCAGCAAUACCAUCAAGAUAUAAAUGUGAUGAUUGGAAUCCAUUAUAUAUGAAACUGUUGUCUUCACUUGCAACCAAUGUAACAUGAAAAAACAACAUGAACACAUGUCUGAGGAACAUGAUUAUAGGUUGUGAAUAAUAAUGCUUAUACAGUUCGGUUCAUUGUUUCUUAUUUAUUAUUUUUUAUUUAUAAUAUUUUGUCCUAUUGCUAGUCUCAUUUGGGACCUACUAAUAAGUGUCCCUUUACCUAACUUAGCUACGUAUUAUCACCAAAAGAAACAUCAAAUCAAAUGGUUACUAAAAUUGCGUAUCUCAUUUGAGUCAAUUUAAGUGGUGGAAGGAUGGAUAAAGAUAAUGUUGGUUUUGACUAAAAUGACUGGGGCAGUUUUUAAAGGAGAUAAUUUUUAGGAAACUUGGAAGUUAAGAGUUGAGUUGGAAAGAUUCUUUCUUCCUCUAACAUAGGUCAUUUUGGGCCGAAUUAGGUAAACAAUUUGAAAAUCGCUCUUUAAGCUUGAAAAAUUGUUCUCUUGCACCUUAAAAUUUCAUUAAUACCCCCAACAGCAAUGAAUUAUCGUCGCUACCCAGCAGCAGUUAAUUGUCGUUCGGUCUUUUUGCAACCACAAUUGUGUUCAACUGCAGUUGCGUUCGAGACUUAUUCUAGAACAGUAACAACACGUGUUCUGGAUUUAUUUUAUAAAAGCAAAAAUAGUUAUCACUUUUGUUUGAAACACAAAACUCCAAUCUCACUCAAAUGAAUCUCAUCCAAUUUCUUUCAUCAAAAUCAAAAGUUAUCAACUAUUCUACAAGUAAGUGUUAAUAAUCUCUUCUAUUCACAUUGUUAGUUUUAUAUAAUUUUUUUUCCUUCAAAAUUUGGUGGAAAUGUUAGUGUUUAUGAUUGGAUAAAUUAUUGAUAUUUUGGGUAGUCUGUGAUCCUAUAUAUGCAUGUUUUGACUAUAAAUGUUGUUUAAACUAAAUUUAAGUUCAAUGUUGUAGUUUAAAAGUUGAAAUAACACAAUGAAUAAAUGUUGUAUAUUUUGUACUACAAGCGUUUGAUGAAAUGCUUGAAUGAGUUUUUCAUUGAUAUUUUUAUUGUCUUUUGUUGUGUAGAUAUGACUGAGAACCUACAUAUGCGUAAAGAGACCAUGACAAGCAGUUCCCGCAAGGAGAGAGUGACAGUGAACCCUACUAAAAUCUGCAUUUCCAACGAUGUACGUCACAAACUGCCAAUGCAUUUAACCAAAUUUUUAGCAUUCUUUCUAUUUAAUUAGUUUUUCUUAUACUUUGUCUAUUUGAUCUUUUUAUCAAUUUUAAUUAUUCAGAUAUAGAUUGUUUCUUUCUACAUCUGCUGCACAAUUCACAAAUCAUGAUUUUGAUGAUGUGAUCAUCAAGGUUGGCUAGGAUAAGAAGAUUUUUGCAUCUAGUAUAUAUCUUUGAAAUGGAGAUAACUUGAUUUCCUUUCCUUACAGUAUUUUUUUAUUUUUUUAAAUCAAGGAGUAACCUUUGCGCAAAUCCUUGACGAAUCCCACGGGGUAACUGAGAUCCAAUAAUCAACGAAUGAGCUAUUUUUUAUACACAUAGUCCAGGUACCCUAAAACAAAUGUUUAAGAGACUCAAAUAUCUACCACAGUACCAGUUAUGCCACAUAUAUUGGAUGUUUCUUUAGAAUGGAUGAUUUGUAUAGAAAAGCCGACUGCAAAGGAAAAUUCAAAUAAAAACUCGUGAAUUAAUAUGUUGAAGUGUGAUUUAACAAUAAAAAAUUUAUAAGCAAAGUAAAUUAAAUAAAAUGCCUAAAAAUCCAUCUAUUCCAAUCAACUAAAUACCUUUCUGCAAAUGUAAAAAUAAUUCAAAGCAGCUACGCAACGCGCAGGUCAAAAUCUAGUUAAUCACAUAAUGUCCAUGUAUUAUGUAUAUGUACACAUAAAUCAGUGUUUUAUACCAGUGCAUUGUGGCCGGUUUACAGAUUUCAGUUUGCAGAGUGUUAUAUAGCCAGUGCUGUCAAAUUUAGAGGCGCUAUAGUGCUGCCGAAUAGAAGAAUUUGACCAAAUUGCUAUUGUUCCGUAAUAAAGCCCUUUUGUACAAAAUGUUGUCAUUAAUAAUGGCUAUAGAAGCACUAUAGUACCGUACCAUAGUAGAAUUUGAACAAACCGCUAUGCUGCAACAUUCAACACUGGUUAUAUAGUCACUGGUCAGUUAUGGUAUUUCCGGCUCGUAUUGACAUUUUUUGGCACCCCCACUGGUUGUUAGCAUUUUCGACUACUCAGCCUCAACCACACACAUUCUUCUUCUUCUUAAUCCUUUGUAUACUCAUUUGUUCAUACUUCUCUUUGCAACUUGUCUUUUUCUUUAACCCUACAUUCUUGCUCUGCAGCAACUCAAUCCCCCAUUGUUCUGUUUUUCUAUACUAGGUUGUUAAUUAUGAAUGUCUGUAAUUUUGUGUAACUUUUUUUUAUUUCUUUGAAAAUUUAUUUACAUAAAGCAUAAAAUAUUUAUGUUGGAUAUAUAAUCUUUGGUAUAGAGUUAUAUCAUCAUCUACUAUCUCUCAGUAGCGUUCGUGGGAUCUAUUACAUGUAUCAAAUGACUGCAUAAUAUUUACCAUGGGCUACAUCUAUGAAUAUAAAUUAAAACUCACGUACCUACCUAUUAGGAGAAAGAGACUACAUUAAAACAUAAACACUACAUAAAACUCGUGUAUCUAUUACACUAUUAACUCAAAUAUGAUUUUACAUUUGAUUUAACAAACUCUCCUUAAUCCAUUUUACCAAAAUCUAACGACAACCAGAGAGAAUUGAGUCGGCAAUAGACACAGAAGUCUGUGACAUUGUGUUGCCCAUAGAGGAAGGAUAAGACAAAGGAAAGUCCUCAAAAAAUUCUUGGUACCCAAAAGUUAAUCCAGAAGAAGAUAAACUAAGCAAAGACAAAUCUGGCAAAGGUAUAUCCCUCUCCAAAUACUGCACAACUUGUCUCAUACAUGGUCUAGCCAAAGGUUCUGAAUGUGAACACAACAAUCCAAGUUUCAACACCAACUCCACCUCUUCAGACACAAAGUUUGUCCCCAAAUUUACAUCUUUUGCCUCAAGAAUAUCACCUCUUUUCCAACACUCAAAUACACAAUCAACCAAAAUUACACUUUCAUUUUCCCCAACAUUAGAAAUAGGCCUUCUACCACAAGCAACCUCAAGAAGAAAUGCACCAAAAGAAAACACAUCAGAAAAUUUAGUAGCCUUACCUGUUCUAAUAUGUUCCGGAGCAAGAUAACCAAUAGUUCCAGCCAAAUGAGUCGUGUGAUGAUCUGCACCAUGGUCAUACAACCUUGAAAGACCAAAAUCUCCCAAUCUAGCAUUAAAUUCAGAAUCUAACAACACAUUACUAGCUUUUAUGUCUCUAUGAAUUACAACUUUCUCCCAUUCUUCAUGAAGAUAAACCACGCCUGAAGCAACACCUUUGAUGAUUCUAAAUCUUUGACUCCAAUUCAACCUCACUUUUGGUUGGUUGUAUAAAUAUUUGUCUAAACUUCCAUUCGGCAUGUAAUCAUAAACCAAAAGUAACUCGCUUUUUCGCCUGCAAUAGCCAUGAAGUUGAACAAGAUUCCUCUGCCGAAGACGACCGAUACUAACAAUUUCCGACACAAAUUCCCUCAUCCCUUGUCUUGAUUCAUGAGACACCCUUUUCACAGCAACCUCAAGUUUGGAACUUGGUAACACACCUUUGUAGACUCUACCAAAUCCACCAACUCCCAGUAGCCCCUUUUCCCUGAAACCCUUUGUGGCAAAGUACAAAUCUUUGAACUUAAAUCUAUGUGGGCCAUAUUCUUGUUCCCAAUCUUCAAGAAUCUCAGCAAACUUCUUCCGUCUGAUAUAAUACAUAACCCCUAAAGUUAUCAUGAAUAUCAAACUUAUCAAAAUUAAAGGCAACCCAACAGUUAAAAAAUUUGAUUUCGUUUUCUCAGCUAAUACUGGUAACUCAGGAAGUUCAGAGAUUACAAGGUUUUGAGCUUGACCAUUAAUCUUAAAACUCCAACCAAGAAUAUAAUGAGAAGUUAGAAAUGAACCAGUAGCUGAUGAAAAUCCAACAUACAUACUAUUGUUAAGAAUUGGAGAAAGAUCUUUGGUCAAUGAUAACAAAGGUUGUUUUGGUUUAACAACAUUAAUUGGAGCUAAAGUAACAUCAAUCUUUUUCUUUUCACCAUCAUAUUCAAUCCAUACCUGCAUAGGAUAGCCACUGAUAAGGCUUAUAUUCUUGAAUUGACCAUUACCAUCAUAAUAUCCUGCAGGAGUUGAAUUAGCUGAUUUCAAAUCAUUGAUAUCAAUACCAACAUGGUUAUCAUUGAUAUCAUCAAACUCACGAUUUUCAAUAGUAUCAAGUUCAACACCAAAAACGUGGUUGCUAGGAUUUCCAUUGUUGGAAUCGUCAAAGAGACCAAGGUAUGAACCUUGGAGUGAAUUUGGUAGCCCUUUUGUAGGAGAAAGAACAAAAACAAUUCCAUGGCCACUAUAAGUUGGACCUUGAUGUCUUAUGGCAAAUACAAAAGUAGUUGAGAAUGAAGAAACACUUCCAUUGGAAGUGUUCUUCAAAACUAUAGGGUUUGGAUAGAAAGCAUGUGCUUUUUCUUGUUUGGUGUCAUUGGUGAGUCUUAGUAAGCCAUUGGAGGUUAAAUUAGCAAUACCAUCAAGAUACAAAUGAGAUGAUUGGAAAUCAUUAUAGAUGAAACUUUUGUCUUCACUUGGUACCAAUGUAACAAGAAAAAACAACAUAAACACAAGCCUGAGGAACAUGAUUAUAGUUUGUGAAUAAUAAUGCUUAUACAGUUCUGUUCAGUGUUUAUUAUUUAUUAUUUAUUAUGUAUAAGAUUUUGUCCUAGGUGAAGAAAAAAUUGCAAGUCUAAUUUGGGUCCUACUAAGAAAUGUCUUGGAACCUAACUUAGCUAUGAAUUAUCACCAAAAGAAACAUCAAAUGGUUACUAAAAUCGCGUAUCUCAUUUGGGUCCUACUAAGAAAUGUCUCAUUUAGUUUAGUAAAAAUGAACUCAUUUGGGACCAUUUGAAUAGUUGUGCACAUUUGAACUACCAAUUUUUUUCCCAACUGCACAUUUUCAAUGUUUACGUAUUGAGUGUUUGAUGCUAAAUUGAAUAUGUGAAAUUAAAACAUCAAUGUCGUCUAAUUUCUUCAAAUAAGCAUAGUUUUUUUUUUUAAGUUCACACUUGAAUGUGUGGAUUUGACCGAUUACUAUUGAUUAUCUAUGAUUUGCUUGGCUGCUAAGAAAAUGAUGAAUGAAUAAGUGGUGGAGGAUGCAUAAAGAUACCGUUGGUUUUGAAUCAAAAUUUCAUAUUUUUCUUCAUGGAAAAAUCGUAGGCCAAUUAAAGUCAGCCUGUUUCAUUGGUCAUAUGUGCUGGCAAGUUGCAGGGAGAUGGAGGUAAAUCACGAGGCAAUUUACUCAGGAUUGACAACUAUAAAAUUCAGUUUUUGACAUAUUUGUCGAGCAAUCUUUCUACUCUAAAUCAGAGAAUUUUUAAGGAAUUUAGAGGUUCAGAGUAACCUUAAAAAGUAACUUAAUAACAUAACUUUGUUCUCCAAAAACUUUACUGUCUUUUCAAUUUUCUGGUUCUUCUUCAUUUCUUGUCCACCACUUUAUCAUAGCUUCUGUUUUUCACAUAUGCCCACACGACCUAAAAUGAGCUUACCAUUUUUUCUACAAUGGAGCCAUCUCAACUUUUUCUCUGCUGUUUAUUUAAUUUAUUUAAUUCAGGGUUAAAAACCAUGUAAUGGACUAAUUUUAAAACCUAACUUUCUUUUUUAGGUGCUGCACUGUCUGUAAAGAGAAGUGACAUAUUGGCUCUUGCUAUAGGUAUGAUGGACUCUUUGAUCCUCUACAAUCAAUGAUUGGUUUAUUGUGUCAUUCACGGGUGAUAAUUCUGGAUGUCACAAUGAAUGUUGGGAUAAAAUGGUUUGUUUAAAUCGAGUAAAACUUCUGUUUCAUGAAUGGUGUGUUCAUCAACUGGUAACAAUUAUAGCAACUAUAGAAGAAAGGCUUAAGUGGGGUGUGGGUUUUCCUACUAUAGGUGUUUCAAUUGUUUUACAUGCACUGAGGCAUUCUUUAGAAUCAAGUGCAUUUCAGAUAUGGCUCAAUAAAUGUUAUAUUUGAUUUAGACUGAAUCACCAUUUAAGUCUAUAAAUUACAGGGGUUGAAAUUUUUAAUGUUAGUCCUUUUGGGUCGGUCAAUAUAGUCCUUGAAAUUGUCUUGAAGAUACUAAAGUGAUUGAAAAUUUUCAAUUUCAAUGAUCAUUUUAGAAUAUGUUAAUUUUAGGGGCUAGAUUGCAUGAUGUCGUGACCAAUACUAUUAUAAGACUGAAAUAGGUUAUUCGCUCUUUCGUUUUAUGUUAUUUGAUGUGUCUAUGCUAGGUGGUGCUUACCUAAAGAUUCUUGAUGGCUACAUUAGUUCAUAUGUUGUUGCUAUCUGAUGAAUGGAAAAUUUAAAUUUGUUGGUCGAGGGUUGAGUACCUCGAUUGGUUUGAGCUAAGGGUUAAGAAGUUGGAGGUCGUCUGUUCAAAUUUUGGUAAUGUCGACAUUGUCCAUGACAGUGAUUAUAAUUAUGAUGUGUUGUUCAAUUUUAAUAUUUAAGGCUCAUUCUACGCAUGCUGAUAACUUAAUCCUGCCAAGCCCUGUAUAUUAACAUUGAUUAGUUGCUCAAUAUUACAGGUGGAUAUCUAAGCUGUAUUUCGAUGAUAUUCUAGAAAAUACAGAAGCAAAUAUAUGUCUUGUUAUCGAUGCUCGUAUUUGGAGGAUUCUAUAAAUUGAGCCAUCUUCUGCUGCUAGUUCAGGUUGAAGUUGAACUAGUGAUAAAUGAUAAAAAUAAACUAAUGUUGUGCAAAAUUAGUUCAGUGUUGCUUGUAGCUAAAAUGUUAUGCUGCCAUGC